GUGCAGCAGUCGAGAAUUUUUCUCAAUGGGGGCAACCCUGAAGGAGCGACGCCGCGUGGAGGAUGAAGGCUUUCGGGUUGUAAACUCCUGUCAUUUGGGAACAAGUUGCGAGUAUUAACCGUGCUCGUAUUGAUAGUACCAGAAGAGGAAGGGACGGCUAACUCUGUGCCAGCAGCCGCGGUAAUACAGAGGUCCCAAGCGUUGUUCGGAUUCAUUGGGGCGUAAAGGGUGCGUAGGUGGCGCUGUAAGUCGGGUGUGAAAUUUCGGAGCUUAACUCCGAAACUGCAUUCGAUACUGCGGUGCUUGAGGACUGGAGAGGAGACUGGAAUUCAUGGUGUAGCAGUGAAAUGCGUAGAGAUCAUGAGGAAGACCAGUGGCGAAGGCGGGUCUCUGGACAGUUCCUGACACUGAGGCACGAAGGCCAGGGGAGCAAACGGGAUUAGAUACCCGGGUAGU
rnacentral:rRNA from 1 species